CACGAACGCUGGCGGCAGGCUUAACACAUGCAAGUCGAGCGCCCCGCAAGGGGAGCGGCAGACGGGAGAGUAACGCGUGGGAAUCUACCCAUCUCUACGGAAUAACGCAUGGAAACGUGUGCUAAUACCGUAUACGUCCUUCGGGCGAAAGAUUUAUCGGAGAUGGAUGAGCCCGCGUUGGAUUAGCUAGUUGGUGGGGUAAAGGCCUACCAAGGCGACGAUCCAUAGCUGGUCUGAGAGGAUGAUCAGCCACACUGGGACUGAGACACGGCCCAGACUCCUACGGGAGGCAGCAGUGGGGAAUAUUGGACAAUGGGCGCAAGCCUGAUCCAGCCAUGCCGCGUGAGUGAUGAAGGCCCUAGGGUUGUAAAGCUCUUUCACCGGUGAAGAUAAUGACGGUAACCGGAGAAGAAGCCCCGGCUAACUUCGUGCCAGCCGCCGCGGUAACAC
rnacentral:rRNA from 1 species